rnacentral:rRNA from 1 species
AACGUAGGUGGCGAGCGUUAUCCGGAUUUACUGGGCGUAAAGGGUGUGCAGGCGGGCUGUUAAGUGGUGUAUGAAAUCGCCCGGCUCAACCGGGCUAGGUUAUGCCAGACUGGCAGUCUAGAGAGCGAGAGAGGGACGUGGAAUUCCGGGUGUAGUGGUGAAAUGCGUAGAGAUCCGGAGGAACCCCAGAGGCGAAGGCGGCUUCCUGGCUCGCAUCUGACGCUCAGACACGACAGCAUGGGGAGCGAACGGG